CCAGAGGCUAGAAUUCUGGUUGCAAACCCACCAUCAACGUUCGAUUUUCUUUCCCCCACUAUUGUAGUGAUUUCUUUCAUCACAUCUAAGGGUCCAAUAACUCACUACAGGUAUGAUUUGGUGUAGUAAGAUGCAAAUGAAACAAUUGAAAAUAGAAUGCCUACUUUAAAAUUUUGAAAUUUUGAAAUGAAGUUUAAAAAUUUGUUGAUUUUUGUGGUAUUUACCCCUGGAUUGACAUGAAGGAACUGUAAACAUUUUGUAUUUUUAAUGAUCCAUCAUUUCCCUCAUUUAUUGGAUAUUAAACACCAUCUCAUAACCGUCCAUUUUUCCUAACCGUUUAUAUUUCGUAAUUCCUUUGAUGGGAAGGAGUUUAUAAAGGGAAGUAGUGGUAUUGGUCCCCGAGUCGAGACUUUCAUGAAAUUGUACUAUCGCAGAGACUUCUUGAAGACUUGGAAGCACCAAACACAAUCUGAAAUUUGGUAUUUUGAAGAUCAAUGGCUAGAGGUUAGUUUCUGUUAUUUAUUUUCUGCAUUUGAUCUAUAUGUUGCUUGUUUAUCCACACAUGAUAGAUCAAAAUAAAGUCUAACAGUUGGUAUCAGAGUCAUAUUUGCCUCUGCCUUGCUCGCUAAGUUCUCUGCAAUUUUUCUAGAAAUUUUCAAUAAUUUUUCCAGAGAUUUCAAAAUCUUAUUUCAUAGUUCUUGAUGGAAAUAAGGAUAGGAAUCAUUAGGAAAUUAGAUUUCUAACAUUUUUGGGAUUUGAAACGUAAUUUUUGGUGUCCGGAAGAUAGAGAAACCGUCAGGUUUUUCAUUGGGUUGAAACCAGGUCAAAAUGACCCAGUUGACGACAAACUGUAGAAAGUAAUAAUUAAAAAAAAACAAAAGGCUUUUUCCUUGAACUCACGGGCCUACUUAUGUGAAAUAAGGCUACUGUUGUACUGUUAAGUUUGGCAAAGAUCAAUUCUGCCAAUUUGUUACUGCACGUGAUUACCAAAUAGUGAGUUGGUAAAAAAUGGUGCAGAUUUCUAGGUCAUUUUCAUAACAAUUUGGUUAUGUUAUCAUUUUGGAAUAUUUUAAUAACAUUUUUGACUAUUGAACAUUGACACGGCCGGAAUUUUUGAGUUCUUAUAUCACUGUGGACCCAUGUGCUGGAAGUUAAUGGGAAUUGUUUAUUGACUUUGUUUUUGUGUGCUAAAGCUAUUUAAUUUUAUUAUUUUGUAUAUAUAAUUUUCUUGUUUUGUUAUACAUGCAAUAUUGAGAUAAAUAAUUUAGUACAUAAAAAUUUUAAUUUUAGUGCCCAUAUUGCUUUUGGGUUUGUGCAAUUUAUACGAGCACAUUUUGUGAAUUAUAUUUAUAAUGUAGAGUGAUCCAUAUAAUUUUAAUUAAUUAGGGAGUAGUCACAGCAUCAUUAAUUAUGUAAAAUUAUAUAUUAAAGUAUAGAAUCACAUAUUUGGGUAAAGACAUUAAUUAUGGUUGAUCAUAUUUAAUAUAGUUAAUUUUAUCCCACAGAAAUUUUUAUUUUUAUGAUCAACUACUAUAAAAUAUUAAAUUACUUUCCUAAUUACCCACAAGAAUUGGGAAUUGAAACAUGGUUUAAUAGUUUUAUCAUAAAGUUUGUAUAUUAAUCUAAUUGAGUAAGACUUUAGCUCACAGGCAAUUUCUAUGUCACUAGAUUCAUAUUUUGAAGCAUAAUUUUACAUUGGUAAAAUGUAAUUUGAUAGUUUUAUCAUAAAGUUUAUACAUGGAUCUAAUUGAGUAGGACUUUAGCCCACAAACAAGUUCUAUAUCACUAGAUUCAUAUUUUGAAGCAUGAUUUUGCUCGUUAAAAUGUGAUUUGAUAAUUCUAUCAUAAGGUAUAAUUGAAUAUACUUGAAUUAAAAAUUUAACCCUUAGGCAAUUUUUAUGUCAUUAUAUUCAAUUUUAGCAUGACUCACAUUGGUAAAACAAGCAAUCUACUCAAUAAAAAGAAUGAAUUUUAAGACAAGCAUUAUGCAGCUUCACAAUCUGCGAAUUUCUCUGAUAUUAAAUGUGAUGUUCCCGAACUAAAGGGUGAAAACUAUAAAGUCUGGAAGGAGAGAAUUCUCUUUCAUUUGGGAUAGAUGGACAUUGACUAUGUCAUCAGGAAAGACGAACAAAAAAAAUAACUCUGACCAGCACUUCAGAUGAAAUUGCUCUUUAUGAACGAUGGAAGCGAUCCAAUCACCUUAGUGUGAUAUUCAUAAAGAACAAGAUUUCUGCUGGUAUUCGUGGUUCUGUCGAAGAGCAUAAAAAUGUUAAGGCAUUGCUGAAAGCUAUUGAUGAGCAAUUUGAGACUUAAGAUAAAGCACUUGCCAACACUUUGAUUGUGAAGUUUUCAUCCAUGAGGAUCACUACUCAGAGAGGUGUGCAUGAGCACAUCAUGCAAAUGAGGGACAUUGCGGCUCAAUUGAAGACUCUUGAGGUUGAUAUGUCUGAGUCUUUCCUUGUGCAAUAUAUAUUUUAAACACCCUUCUACAUCAAUGUGGACUCUUCAAGAUAUCCUAUAACACACAUAUGGAUAAAUGGUCAAUUAAUGAACUUCUUACCACGUGUGUUCAGGAAGAAGGGAGAUUAACAAAUGGAAACGGGUGAAAGUGCAUUGAUGGAAAUGCAAGGAAAUGACGAAAAACAAGCCAAAAGAAAAGAGAAAGGAAAAAUACCUCCCCAAAGUAGAAUACAAAAAAGGAAUCCAAGUGUUUUUUCUUUAAAAAGAAGUGACACAUAAAGAAGGAUUACAUGAAGUUCCAAAAAUGUCUUGAGAAGAAAUGUAAAUCAAUCUCACUUAUCUGUUAUAGCGACCGAAAAAAAAUAAUAAAAAUAAAUCUUGUGCCUCGUUUUAAAAGAAAAAUUCCUUGUAAAACCCAAAAAUGGUUUGAGUUAUAUUAUUGCGUUGCUACGACCCUUCCUAAGAAUUUAACUAAAGUUUUGGUCACGAUAGUAAAAUUAUGUGCACUUGUUUUAAACUUUUUAUGAGGUGUCGAAAUCUCUUUUAAACGAUAAAUAUUUAUUUUGACGACACUUCUUAAUAGUCCAAGUUAAAGUUUUGCUCACUAUAGUAAUGUUGGCUCACUUGUCUAAAGAUUUUCGUAAGACAUCGAACUCAAAUUUAAACCCCAAAUUUCCUAUUUUGAGCUAGCCGUGCCGAGUUAUUCUAAUAAAAUUAAAGUGUUAUCUUUGUGUGUGUGUGUGUGUGUGUGUGUUUGUGUAUACACACAUAAUGACUUUCUAGGAAUAUGUACGGUAAUGGUGGGAAGGAAAGGAAUAUGUUUAAUAUAAUUCAUAAAACCUAAUGAUCCUCAUUAAUCUUGAUGAUAAAUGAAAUUAUUAACAUUAUCAAUUCACUUUUAACCCGCAAGGCAUUUUUGAAAUGAAUGUUAUGUGUAUAAUGACUAUUUGGGUUUGCAUAUAUUUAGGUGCCAUAACCUAACCAUCCCCUAUCAUGUAAAAACCAAUUAUGUUAGUUAUAAAAAAAGAAAAACAAAGAAAAGAAACUGAUGCCUUUUCAUUUGAAUAUAGCCUACACGUUUUUAACCCCAUUUUAUACCCCUAAUUAACAUCCCACUUAACCUUUUGCUUUUACUCACUUUUUGGUUACUUGCCAUCACCCUUUUUGCAUUUGAAAAACAAUCCCUAUAUCUUCUAUAACCUCUAAAUUCUCUCCCUAUUAUACUUAUACAUAAAAUCAUUUUACUCUUUUUCCCAUAGACUAAAUUUGAAAAUUUUCUAAGAAGAGGCAAAGAGUACGCUGAAUUUUAUAACUUAUUGAACGUAAAAAGGAUAUUUAAACUCCAAGCUAAGGUAGGGGUGUUCUUGGCACUUUUGUAAGUGGUAUAAGAAUUAUUUGUUUUCGUUUUGCAUCAAACGUAUGAUUGUGUCACUCAUGAAGGAGACAUCAUUUGGUGGCUCAACUAAGAGAAAGAGAUUGAAGGUGACACUAUUAUUGUCUUGCUCAUGAAGGAGGCAUCGUUUGGUGGCUCAAAUAAGAGAAAUAGAUUGAAGGUGACACUAUUAUUGUGUUACUCAUGAAGGAGACACCGUUUGGUGGUCCAAAUAAGAGAAAGAAAUUGACGGAGACAUGAAUAAAUCAAAGUUUGCAUUUCUGAAAACAUAUAUGCAUUUUAUCAUUUACUCUAGUGUCUUCUUACUGAGUAUUAUUUGUAAUACUCACACCCACUAUAAUCUCACAGGUUGAUUUGAGGCAUGGCGACGGUUUGACAUAGUGUCAAGUGCUCGGCUAUCUGAAAAACUUUCAACUUUCUAGUAAAAUUUCCAAUUUAUGUAAACGCAUUAUGAAUAAUUAGAUGACAAUUUUAAAAAAUUUUAAACAUCUGUUUCGUUCAGUUUUAUAUGCUAUUCAUGUCAACCAUAAUUUGGAAACUUUGGAAUGACUAUGAUCAAAGUUUAUUUCCUGCUGAUUACAAUUUCAGACUCUAUCUUCCAUUUGAAAAUAGUAUAAUUUGGGCUACGUUGCAUAUUUUUGAGUGAAAUCAGUGGCAUUUGAAAGGUCUAUGAGUCUUCUAAUAGUGGCUUUUGUAAUUUCUCAAAAAUAUUAUAUGAAAAAAAGCUAUGCCUGUUUUAGUAAAACUGCAUCGUGUCGAAUCCGUUUUUCUGUUUAGCAUAUUCGAGCAAUAUUUUCUUGCUUCAAACAUUAUCUUCGAGACCCCAAAUUUUUAUAUGUAGUACAUAUAUGAAUGCCUUAGUUUCUUUUAAAAUUUCAUAAUUUUUAGUCAUUGUUUACUAGACCAAACAUAUUUUUUCUUUCCACUGCUGCGUAAACCGUGUUUGCUGUAUUUUUCCCAAAUAUUUUCCAGAAAUCAAAUUUUGCCAUAAUUGUCUAAGUUUACGUGGACAAAUGACUUAUUGUUUUCCAUAUGUUUCAAAAUCAAAAAACUUUCUAAUUUACAAAUUAUUUUGGUUAACAUCAAAUGGGCCGAACCAAAGAAAGAACGAUUAUUUUUAAAGUUUCGGGUUCUGAGAGUUCGGGGCAUCACAUCUGUUAUGAAUUUAAUUUGGUUGAUUUUAUUUCUAACACAUGGUGGAUUGAUUCCGGUUCUACGAUCUAUAUUUCGAAUACCUUACAGGGUAUGCGAAACCUAAUGAAACCAGUAGAAGUUGAGCAAUGCAUUUAUUCAGGAAACAAGAUGCGCUCACAUGUGGAGGCUGUUGUAACAUGCAGCUUAAUCUUAAUCAGUGAUUUUAUUUUGAAUUUAAAAAAGACAUUUUAUAUUCCAAGUUCCUCUACGAACUUGAUUUCAGUUUCAAGACUUGUAUCUUUAGGUUAUUCCUUUAAUUUCUCAAAAAAAAAAAAAAGAUCUUUCAAUUUAUUUUAUAAAUAUGAUCUUAUUGGGAAUUGUACAUCGUCUGAUGGCCUUUUCUCCAUUAAUCCGCAAAAUAAUACUACUCACAAUGCUAUGCAUGUUCACACUGGUAUGAAACGAUGUGUUAUGAAUAAGAACUCAUCUAUGAAGUGGUACCAGAGAUUAGGACAUAUCUCCAUAGAAUGAGUUAAGAAAUUAGUAGAUAAUGGAGUUAGUACUUUGGAUUUUACUAAUUUCGACACUUGUAUGGACUACGUUAAGGGAAAACAGACCAACAAGUCCAAGGAAGGUGCUAAGAGGAGUACAUACAUAUUAGAGAUCAUACAUUCAGAUAUUUGUAGUCCAGAUAUGGACUCGUAUGGUUCAAAAUACUUCAUCUCCUUCAUUGAUGAUUAUUCAUGAUACAUGUAUAUCUACUUACUUCACAAUAAGAACGAAGCACUAAGUACCUUUAAAAUUCUUAAGGCCGAAGUAGAGAAACAAUAUGAAAGACAAAUUAAGAUCGUGAGAACAGAUAGAGAUAGAGAAUAUUAUGGUAGAUACACUGAGGAUGGAUAAGCAUCUGGUCCAUUUGCGAAGUUUUUUCAAGAUUAUGGGAUAGUUGCCCAAUAUAGCAUGCCUGGUUUCCCGAACCAAAAUGGUGUAGCAGAAAGAAGAAACUGAACUAUAAUGGACAUGGUGAGGAGUAUGCGAAGUACUUCCAAACUUUCUAAAUCCCUAUGGACUGAAGCUCUUAAAACGGCAAUGUAUAUAUUAAAUCGAAUUUCAACUAAAGCUGUCCCAAAGAUGCCAUUUGAAUUAUAAAAGGGUUGGAAACUGAGUUUGCAACAUAUAUGCGUUUGGAGAUGUCCGUCUGAAGUAAGAGUUUACAACCCACAAGAAAAGAAACUAGACCCAAGGACCAUUAAUGUAUACUUCAUUGGAUAUGCUGAAAGAUCUAAAGGGUACAGAUUUUUUUGUAUAACUCAUAGCACUAGGAUUGUGGAGUCAAGAAAUGCAAAGUUUUUUGAGAAUGACUUGAUUAGUGGGAGUGAUCGAUUCUAGGACAUUGUUUCUGAUAGAAUGAUAUUGAUGCUCGACUUUCCACUUCAAGUGAUAGAUUGAUUGUCGUUCACAAAACCCCUCAAGUUCAAACAGGUGUUGGACAACCAAUCAUUAAAGUUUCACAAGCUGCUGAUGAUAAUUCAGUAGAUCGAGAUGUUCGAAAAUUGCUUGAAAUUGUUGAACAACAUGAUCCUCAGGAAAAUGAUGAUACAACAUUAAGUAGAUCUACUAGAAUAAGGAAAUUGACAAUACCUAGUGAUUAUAUCUACAAGAAUAGGGCUAUAUGUUGGAGUCGAAAAUGAUCCUAAAACAUUUUCAAAAAAAAAAAAAAAAAAUUGGAUGUGAAAACGACAUUUCUCAAUGGAGAUCUAGAGGAAAAGGUUUACAUGAAACAACCAAAAGGAUUUUCCUCUGGUGGUAGUGAGCAUGUGGUGUGCAAGCUUGAGAAAUCUAUACAUGGAUCUUUUCGUCAGUGGUAUUUGAAAUUUCAUGAUGUUAUCUCUUCAUUUGGAUUUGUAGCUAACAUUAUGGAUCAAUGUAUAUACCAAAAGGUCAGUGGGAGUAAGAUUUAUUUUCUUAGUCUAUAUAUGGAUGACAAUUUACUUGCAACCAAUAAAAGGUUUUGCUAUAUGAGGUGAAACAAUUUCUCUCUAAAAUAUUGAGAUGAAAGAUAUGGGUGAUGCAACUUAUUUUAUUGGUAUUAAGAUCCAAAUUGGCAGAUCAUGAGGUAUUUUAGGCCUGUCUCAAGAGACCUAUAUCAAUAAAGUUUUAGAGGAAUUUUGGAUGAAAGAUUGUUCACCAAAUAUAGCUCCCAUUGUGAAGGGUGAUAGGUUCAAUUUGAACCAAUGCCCGAAAAAUGAUUUGAAGGGGAACAAAUUGAAGAACAUUCCUUAUGUUUCUACUGUCAAAAGCCUAAUGUAUGCUCAAGUCUGCAAAAGAUCUGACAUUGCAUUUGCUAUAGGAAUGUUAGGACGAUAUCAAAGUAAUUCAAGUAUGAACCACUAUAGAGUAAUGAAGAAAGUAAUGAGGUACCUUCAAUGGACCAAAAUUACACGCUUAUGUAUAGACGAAUUGAGUUCGUAUAUUGUUUUGAGGCUACCUCGCAUAGUGUAUGGAUGAAGAGUUUCAGUUAUGGGCUUAGAAUCGUGGAUUCAAUCUCUAAGCCAUUGAAGAUAUAUUGUGUAAUUCAGCUGCAAUCUUUAUGGCUAAGAACAACAAAAUGAUAGUCGAAGCAAGUAUAUCGACACAAAGUAUCUAGCCAUAAGGGAACGUGUUAAAAGAGAAAAUAGUGGUCAUUGAACACGUUAAUACUGAAUUAAUGAUUGUUGAUCCUUUGACAAAAGGUAUGCCACCAUUAAAAUUUAAGGAUUAAGUGGAUAAAAUGGGACUUGAUUCCUGUAUGAAAUUUUCGUUAUAAGAACGAACGAUUAAUUUGAUGAAACUCUAUUUGUGACAUUUUCUCAUAUUUGGUUUUCCUUGUGUACACAUUAAUGUUGAGAAAUAUCAUUGAUGUUUGGACCUAGAAUAAACAUAGGGUUUAUUCAUUAAGUUAUAUGGGUUGAUGUUUAAGAGACAUGAUGCAUUGUGAUACAUGGAAGAUAAUACUUGUAUUUAGAGGACCUAUCGCUAUGAUUCAUGUAUUUUUGUUUCUUGAAAGUGAGAAUUGAUGGAUUUUGGAUAUCAUAUCGAGUGAAAUGUAUGGACCAAGUGGGAGAAUAUAAACGUUUUGUAUUUUUAAUGAUCUAUCAUUUCCUUCAUUUAUUGGAUAUUAAACACCAUCUCAUAACCGUCCAUUUUUUCUAACCGUUUAUAUUUCGUAACUCCUUUGAUAGGAAGGAGUUUAUAAAGGGAUGUAGUGGUAUUGGUCCCCAAGUCGAGACUUUCACGAAAUUGCACCGUCACAGAGAGGUCUUGAAGACUUGGAAGAACCAAACACAAUCUGAAAUUUGGUAUUUUGAAGAUCAAUGGUUGGAGGUUCUGUUAUUUAUUUUCCGCAUUUAAUCUAUAUGUUGCUUGUUUAUCCACACAUGAUAGAUCAAGAUAAAGUCUAACAGAAACCAGUUUUUAGAAAAAGUAUGUUGAAUACCCAUAUGACCUUUACAUUAUGUUUGACAAACCCCUCGACCUUUACAAUAUAUUGUGUAAAUUCUACCCCAAAUGAGAUUGUGUUAUGUAAUACACCCUUGACUUUAAUAUAUGUUGUUGAAUACCCUCUUGACAUUUUCAGUUUUGUGAUGACAGGUGGUGUUUGAGAUAAAACUAGCUGAGCAUUUUAUGUGAUCAAACCGGUACAUUAAGCAGAAGGCUAUAGGUUGCGGGAUGUAUGCAAGGGAAAGUGUGAUGUCCAUGGCUGUCGUAUGCAAG
rnacentral:lncRNA from 1 species